UGGCGGCAUGCCUAACACAUGCAAGUCGAACGCCCCGCAAGGGGAGUGGCAGACGGGUGAGUAACGCGUGGGAACGUGCCCUUCGGUUCGGAAUAACUCAGGGAAACUUGAGCUAAUACCGGAUACGUCCGUAAGGAGAAAGAUUUAUUGCCGAAGGAUCGGCCCGCGUCGGAUUAGCUAGUUGGUGAGGUAACGGCCCACCAAGGCGACGAUCCGUAGCUGGUCUGAGAGGAUGAUCAGCCACACUGGGACUGAGACACGGCCCAGACUCCUACGGGAGGCAGCAGUGGGGAAUAUUGGACAAUGGGCGAAAGCCUGAUCCAGCCAUGCCGCGUGAGUGAAGAAGGCCUUAGGGUUGUAAAGCUCUUUCAGCGGGGAAGAUAAUGACGGUACCCGCAGAAGAAGCCCCGGCUAACUUCGUGCCAGCAGCCGCGGUAAUACGAAGGGGGCUAGCGUUGUUCGGAUUUACUGGGCGUAAAGCGCGCGUAGGCGGAUCACUAAGUCAGGGGUGAAAUCCCGAGGCUUAACCUCGGAACUGCCUUUGAUACUGGUGAUCUGGAGAUCGGGAGAGGUUGGUGGAAUUCCGAGUGUAGAGGUGAAAUUCGUAGAUAUUCGGAGGAACACCAGAAGCGAAGGCGGCCAACUGGCCCGAUACUGACGCUGAGGCGCGAAAGCGU
rnacentral:rRNA from 1 species